rnacentral:rRNA from 1 species
UACGUAGGGGGCUAGCGUUGUCCGGAAUCAUUGGGCGUAAAGAGCGUGUAGGCGGCCCGGUAAGUCCGCUGUGAAAGUCGGGGGCUCAACCCUCGAAUGCCGGUGGAUACUGUCGGGCUAGAGUGCGGAAGAGGCGAGUGGAAUUCCUGGUGGAGCGGUGAAAUGCGCAGAUAUCAGGAGGAACACCGAUGGCGAAGGCAGGUCUCUGGGCCACUACUGACGCUGAGAAGCGAAAGCAUGGGGAGCGAACAGG